rnacentral:rRNA from 1 species
GAAAUGCGAUAAGUAAUGUGAAUUGCAGAAUUCAGUGAAUCAUCGAAUCUUUGAACGCACCUUGCGCCCCUUGGUAUUCCGAGGGGCAUGCCUGUUUGAGUGUCAUUAAAUUCUCAACCUUUACUAGCUUUUGCGAGCUAUGUGAUGACUUGGAUGUGGGGGUCUUUUUUGCUGGCUUCGAGAGAAAUCAGCUCCCCUGAAAUAUAUUAGCCGGUGCCUCGCGUGGACUGUCUAUUGGUGUGAUAAUUAUCUACGCCGUUAGAUGUCUGCUUUAAAUGGGAUGCGCUGCUUCUAAUCGUCCAUUUAGGACAAUUAUGACCAUUUGACCUCAAAUCAGGUAGGACUACCCGCUGAACUUAA